GCCAUGAUGAAGGAUAUUGAGAAGAAGAACAUUCUUGCUGUUCAAACUCUGAGAAAUGCUAUAAUGGGAUCAACUCUUAUGGCUACAACCUCCAUCCUCCUCUCGUGCGGCCUAGCGGCGAUUUUGAGCAGCACCUACAGCAUCAAGAAGGCAGUGAACGAAUCGGUGUUCGGCGCCCACGGCGAGUUCAUGUUGUCUCUCAAAUAUGUCUCCACUCUCACCAUCUUCCUUUUCUCCUUUUUGUGCCAUUCCCUUUCCAUCAGAUUUAUCAACCAAGUGAAUGUUUUGAUCAACACUCCACAAGACCCGACGUCCCCCGUCACCCCCAACUACGUGUCGGAGCUGUUCGAGAAAGGCUUCGUCCUCAACACCGUCGGGAAUCGCCUCUUCUACUCAGCUCUCCCUCUUUUGCUUUGGAUAUUUGGACCAGUGCUUGUGUUUCUAUGCUAUCUCACUUUGCUGCCUCUGCUUUAUAAUUUGGAUUUUGUUUCUUCUCAUGCUUAUAACAAAAACAACACCACCAAAGUGGAAGCCAAUAAUGCUAUUAUUGUUGGUCAUGAAAACUUUGUG
rnacentral:misc_RNA from 1 species